rnacentral:rRNA from 1 species
CUACGGGAGGCAGCAGUGGGGAAUCUUAGACAAUGGGGGCAACCCUGAUCUAGCCAUGCCGCGUGAGUGAUGAAGGCCUUAGGGUCGUAAAGCUCUUUCGCCAGGGAUGAUAAUGACAGUACCUGGUAAAGAAACCCCGGCUAACUCCGUGCCAGCAGCCGCGGUAAUACGGAGGGGGUUAGCGUUGUUCGGAAUUACUGGGCGUAAAGCGCGCGUAGGCGGACCAGAAAGUUGGGGGUGAAAUCCCGGGGCUCAACCCCGGAACGGCCUCCAAAACUCCUGGUCUUGAGUUCGAGAGAGGUGAGUGGAAUUCCGAGUGUAGAGGUGAAAUUCGUAGAUAUUCGGAGGAACACCAGUGGCGAAGGCGGCUCACUGGCUCGAUACUGACGCUGAGGUGCGAAAGUGUGGGGAGCAAACAGGAUUAGAUACCCUGGUAGUCCACACCGUAAACGAUGAAUGCCAGUCGUCGGGUAGCAUGCUGCUCGGUGACACACCUAACGGAUUAAGCAUUCCGCCUGGGGAGUACGGUCGCAAGAUUAAAACUCAAAU